ACACUUACCUGGCAGGGAAGACACCGUGAUCACGAAGGUGGUUUUCCCAGGGAGAGGCUUAUCCAUUGCAUUCGGAUGCGCUGACCCCUGCGACUUCCCCAAACGUGGGAAACUCAACUGCAUAAUUUGGGGUAGUGGGGCACUGCGUUUGUGCUCUCCCCUA
rnacentral:snRNA from 1 species